rnacentral:rRNA from 1 species
GCGAGUGAAGCGGCAAAAGCUCCAUUUUGAAAGCUCUUCGGAGCGUUGUAGAUUGGUGGGAAGCUAACGGCUGGUGGGAGACCAAGUCCUCUGGAACGAGGCGCCAUAGAGGGUGAGAGCCCCGUGUGUCUCCUUUACCGACCUUUCAGCCCCCUCCGCGGAGUCGAGUUGUUUGGGAAUGCAGCUCUAAGUGGGUGGUAAAUUCCAUCUAAGGCUAAAUAUUGGCGAGAGACCGAUAGCGAACAAGUACAGUGAUGGAAAGAUGAAAAGCACUUUGAAAAGAGAGUGAAACAGUACGUGAAAUUGUUGAAAGGGAAGGGUAUUUGGCCCGACAUGGGUCCUAUGCACCGUUGCCUCUCGUGGGCGGCGCUCUGCUUGGGCCUGGGCCAGCGUCAGUUUGGAGGGGGCGAGAAGGGUUUUGGGGAGUUGCCUAGCAAUUCCCCUUUGCUAGAUUGCCCCACACCGGACUGAGGACCGCCAUCUGUAGGAUGCUGGCACAACGGCCAAAUACCGCCC